rnacentral:rRNA from 1 species
GGGCCCGCACAAGCGGUGGAGCAUGUGGUUUAAUUCGAUGAUACGCGAGGAACCUUACCAGGGCUUAAAUGUAAGUUGCAUAGAUCAGAGAUGGUCUUUUCUUCGGACUACUUACAAGGUGCUGCAUGGUUGUCGUCAGCUCGUGCCGUGAGGUGUCAGGUUAAGUCCUAUAACGAGCGCAACCCCUGUCGUUAGUUACCAGCAAGUAAUGUUGGGUACUCUAGCGAGACUGCCGGUGCAAACCGUGAGGAAGGUGGGGAUGACGUCAAAUCAUCACGGCCCUUACGUCCUGGCUACACACGUGCUACAAUGGCCGGUACAGAGAGCAGCCACCUCGUGAGAGGGAGCGGA